CCUUUAUGGUUUCAUAACUUUCUGCAUUCUGACUUUUUUCCCCUCAAAUCCCUCUUUCUCUCUUUAUUCUUUGAGAUUUCUUUUAGUGCAAACAUGAAGGGAGUGUUUGAAGCUCGACGGCAGGUCACCGCUAUUAUCAGCAGGCAUUUAUUAAAUAGAUUAGGAUACUCUAUACGAGAUUCAUUUUCCAGUUAUUUUAAAUAAUUAGUCAUUGUAUGGGUUAGAUUUCUAACAUCUGUGUAGACUAUUUACAGUGAGAAAUCUAAAGA